ACCCUCUCAGGGUCGCACCUGGAGAAUUUCCAGUACUCUUCCAGUCUCGACUACAGGAGGGAGAGACAAGCAGAGGCAUACCCAUUCCAAUCCCAGUUUGGGCAGUAGCUAGCGAAUGGAAGGCCAUCCGAUACAAGU